rnacentral:misc_RNA from 1 species
UCUCCGUAGGUGAACCUGCGGAGGGAUCAUUACCGAGUGAGGGUUCCGGCCCGACCUCCAACCCUUUGUGAAUUCGACCCAGUUGCCUCGGGGGCGACCCUGCCGUUCGCGGCGUGGGGCCCCCGGAGCCCAUCAAACCCUGCGUAACUAAGUCGUCGGAGUUUAAACAAAUUAAACAAAACUUUCAACAACGGAUCUCUUGGUUCGGGCAUCGAUGAAGAACGCAGC